UACGAAGGGGGCUAGCGUUGCUCGGAAUUACUGGGCGUAAAGGGCGCGUAGGCGGACAGUUUAGUCAGAGGUGAAAGCCCAGGGCUCAACCUUGGAAUAGCCUUUGAUACUGACUGUCUUGAGUACGGGAGAGGUGUGUGGAACUCCGAGUGUAGAGGUGAAAUUCGUAGAUAUUCGGAAGAACACCAGUGGCGAAGGCGACACACUGGCCCGUUACUGACGCUGAGGCGCGAAAGCGUGGGGAGCAAAC
rnacentral:rRNA from 1 species